UACAGAGGCCUCGAGCGUUAGGCGGAAUCACUGGGCUUAAAGCGUGUGUAGGCGGACUUCUAAGUACCUUGUGAAAUCCCACGGCUCACCCGUGGAACUGCUUGGUAUACUGGUCGUCUUGAGCCUUCUAGGGGCGAGUGGAACAAAUGGUGGAGCGGUGAAAUGCGUAGAUAUCAUUUGGAACGCCAAUGGUGAAAACAACUCGCUGGGGAAGUGCUGACGCUGAGACACGAAAGCCAGGGGAGCGAACGGG
rnacentral:rRNA from 2 species